rnacentral:rRNA from 1 species
AUUGCCUCAGUAGCGGCGAGCGAAGCGGCAACAGCCCAGAUUUGAAAUCUGGCCUUCGGGUCCGAAUUGUAAUCUGCAGAGGAUGCUUUAGGCAAGGCACCAGCCAAGUUCCCUGGAAUGGGACGCCUUAGAGGGUGAGAGCCCCGUAGUGUUGGUUGCCACGCCAUUGUAUAGCUCCCUCGAAGAGUCGCGUAGUUUGGGAAUGCUGCGCAAAUAGGGAGGUAUAUCUCUCCUAAGGCUAAAUACCUGUCAGAGACCGAUAGCGCACAAGUAGAGUGAUCGAAAGAUGAAAAGAACUUUGAAAAGAGGGUUAAACAGUAUGUGAAAUUGCUAAAAGGGAAGCGCUUAUGGCUAGACUUGGUGGUGGUGGAGCAAUCCGCUGCUACUGGGCCGGCACCAGUUCGCGUUGGGGGGUAAAGGCAGUGGGAACGUAGCUCCUCCGGGAGUGUUAUAGCCCGCUGUGUAAUACCCUGGUGCGGACUGAGGCUCUCGCUUCGGCAAGGGUGCCGGCAUAAUGGCCAUCAGCGGCCCGUCUUGAAAACACGGA